rnacentral:lncRNA from 1 species
UUUUUGCCUGGUCUGUAUCAAAAGACAGAAUCUUGAUGACUAAGACAUUUUCUUUGGACCCAGGAGAUGAACAUAUGCCUGAGAAGAAGAACUAGUGUGGAACUGUCAGCCAGGUUUUUGAUGAGUGCUCAGACUGCUUUUUGAUCCGGCACCACAUUUACUAUAGUGGACAGAUGCUCUAGUCUCUGAUGAGGAGUUGCUA